rnacentral:piRNA from 1 species
UGAUUGAUUGAUUUAUUUUUGUCUGCUUAC